AUAUCAAUAAGCGGAGGAAAAGAAACCAACAGGGAUUGCCUCAGUAACGGCGAGUGAAGCGGCAAAAGCUCAAAUUUGAAAUCUGGCUUCCAUUUCUUGGGGCCUGAGUUGUAAUUUGCAGAGGAUGCUUUGGGUGUGGUUGUGGUCUAAGUUUCCUGGAAUGGGACAUCAUAGAGGGUGAGAAUCCCGUCUGUGACUGCUAGCCAUGCCUGUGUAAAGCUCCUUCGACGAGUCGAGUUGUUUGGGAAUGCAGCUCUAAAUGGGUGGUAAAUUUCAUCUAAAGCUAAAUAUUGGCCGGAGACCGAUAGCGCACAAGUA
rnacentral:rRNA from 1 species